rnacentral:rRNA from 1 species
GAUGAACGCUAGCUACAGGCUUAACACAUGCAAGUCGAGGGGAAACGGCAUUAAGUGCUUGCACUUUUUGGACGUCGACCGGCGCACGGGUGAGUAACGCGUAUCCAACCUUCCCAUGACUAAGGGAUAACCUGCCGAAAGGCAGACUAAUACCUUAUGGUCUUCACUGACGGCAUCAGAUGUGAAGUAAAGAUUUAUCGGUUAUGGAUGGGGAUGCGUCUGAUUAGCUUGUUGGCGGGGUAACGGCACACCAAGGCAACGAUCAGUAGGGGUUCUGAGAGGAAGGUCCCCCACAUUGGAACUGAGACACGGUCCAAACUCCUACGGGAGGCAGCAGUGAGGAAUAUUGGUCAAUGGGCGAGAGCCUGAACCAGCCAAGUAGCGUGCAGGAGGACGGCCGUAUGGGUUGUAAACUGCUUUUGUAUGGGGAUAAAGUCAAUCACGUGUGAUUGUUUGCAGGUACCAUACGAAUAAGGACCGGCUAAUUCCGUG